CAAAGUUGGAUUGGUUUUCAUUCAUUUUUUCUUUGAAUCCCAACGACUAUAAAAAUCAAAGACAAUUAACAUAAUGCCCAAAGUGCCCAAAAAGUACUUGAGGGCCUCCAAGUGGUACUCGAGACCGUGGACCUGGAAGUAAGCGCCCGUGCUGCGUUGACGUCACCAAAGACAAUGUGAGUGCUGACGUGGUGGGGCAAACAUAUCGUGAGCAGGCUGCAAGGCAUCACUGUGUGAAGGCUAUAAUUUUUGACACAAAAAAUGGAAAACAACUUUGUGCUGAUCCAGACGCUCAGUGGGUCAAAGAUCUCACUGCCAACAUGAGGAAGGUGUGAAGCCUGUCUGCUGCAUCAGUAUUUCCAGUAUUUCCAUCACCAUUAAAGGCUUAUUCAAACCAGAGCGCUUUCUCAGCCUGACUGUCUUAAAACUUUCUUUUUUGCAUUUGUAGAUUAAUUUUUACUCUUACCUGUGGAGUAACCCUGUAUUUUAUUUAUGCUGUUGAGUUCAUUGUUU